AAGAAAUAAAGUAAGAGCAUUUGGUGGAUGCCUUGGUGUUGGUAGGCGAUGAAGGACGUGAAAGACUGCGAUAAGCUUCGGGGAAUUGUCAAUAGGUUUUGAUCCGAAGAUGUCCGAAUGGGGAAACCCACCCUUAGGGGUAUCUGUAGACGAAUAAAUAAAUUUACAGAGGCGAACUCAGCGAACUGAAAUAUCUCAGUAGCUGAAGGAAAGGAAAUCAAUAGAGACUCCCCUAGUAGCGCGAGCGAACGGGGACCAGGCCGGUGCCAUUGGUCUAAUAAUUAGAAUAGAUUGGAAAAUCUAGCCAUAGAAGGUGAUAGCCCUGUAUAGGUAAAAAUGACCGAUGGACUUGAGUAGAGCGGGACACGUGAAAUCCUGUUUGAAUAUGGGGGGACCAUCCUCCAAGCCUAAGUACUAACCAAUAACCGAUAGUGAACUAGUACUGUGAAGGAAAGGUAAAAAGAACCCUGACGAAGGGAGUGAAAUAGAACCUGAAACCGAAUGCUUACAAGCAGUCAGAGCGGACAGCCCCUUCUGGGGUCAUGCCGUGAUGGCGUACCUUUUGCAUAAUGGGUCAGCGAGUUAAUAUGCAGAGCAAGCUUAAGUCGAUAGACGGAGGCGCAGCGAAAGCGAGUCUGAAUAGGGCGAAUUAGUUCUGUGUAUUAGACCCGAAACCAGAUGAUCUAACCAUGGUCAGGCUGAAGGUGUAGUAAUGUACACUGGAGGGCCGAACCUGUUAACGUUGCAAUGUUAUAGGAUGAACUGUGGUUAGGGGUGAAAGGCUAAUCAAAUCUGGACAUAGCUGGUUCUUCGCGAAAACUAUUUAGGUAGUGCGUUGCGUGGUUGCCGACGGGGGUAGAGCACUGAAUAGGCUAGGGGGGUCAAAGCCCUGCCGAACCUAAUUAAACUCCGAAUACCGCCGAGCUGAGCGCAGCAGACAGACUACGGGUGAUAAGGUCCGUGGUCGAGAGGGAAAUAGCCCAGACCGCCAUCUAAGGUCCCUAAGUUAUCACUAAGUGUGGAAGGAAGUAAUGGAGCCAAAACAGCUAGGAGGUUGGCUUAGAAGCAGCCAUCCUUUAAAGAAAGCGUAAUAGCUCACUAGUCUAUAAGCUCUUUUGCGCCGAAAAUGUAACGGGGCUAAAGUGAUACACCGAAGAUGCGGACUUCCCAGAUUACUCUGGGGAGUGGUAGCGAAGCAUUCCAUAGGCCGUCGAAGGUGCAGCCGCGAGGCGCGCUGGAGGUAUUGGAAGAGAGAAUGCUGACAUGAGUAACGACAAAGAAUGUGAGAAACAUUCUCGCCGAAAGCCCAAGGUUUCCUAUCCAAUGUUAAUCAGGGUAGGGUUAGUCGGCCCCUAAGGCAAGACCGAAAGGUUUAGUCGAUGGGAAACAGGUUAAUAUUCCUGUACCUGAGGAAGAGUGACAAAGCAGAUGUUCUGUGGCCGUUUAUAGGAUUACGGAUGCAGGGCUGAUGUUUUCAGGAAAUAGCCUCCUCAACAUAGACCGUACCAAAACCGACACAGGUGGGCGGGUUGAAUAUACUAAGGCGCUUGAGAGAACUAUCUUGAAGGAACUAGGCAAUUUACACUUGUAACUUCGGGAAAAGAGUGGCCCACGUUAGGUAACUGGUAGUGGGUGGCACAUAAAUGGGGGGGGCGACUGUUUACCAAAAACACAGGGCCAUGCUAAAUCGGUAAGAUGAUGUAUAUGGUCUGACGCCUGCCCGGUGCUGGAAGGUUAAAUGAUCCGGUGCAAGCUGGUGAUUGAAGCCCCAGUAAACGGCGGCAGUAACUAUGACUGUCCUAAGGUAGCGAAAUUCCUUGUCGGGCAAGUUCCGACGCGCAUGAAUGGCGUAACGAUCUCCCCACUGUCUCCAAGAUAGACUCAGUGAAAUUGGAUUCGACGUGAAAAUACGUUGUACCUACGGUUAGACGGAGAGACCCCAUGCACCUUUACUAUAGCUUU
rnacentral:rRNA from 1 species